rnacentral:rRNA from 1 species
ACUGGGACUGAGACACGGCCCAGACUCCUACGGGAGGCAGCAGUGGGGAAUUUUGGACAAUGGGCGCAAGCCUGAUCCAGCCAUGCCGCGUGUCUGAAGAAGGCCUUCGGGUUGUAAAGGACUUUUGUCAGGGAAGAAAAGGCUGUUGCUAAUAUCGACAGCUGAUGACGGUACCUGAAGAAUAAGCACCGGCUAACUACGUGCCAGCAGCCGCGGUAAUACGUAGGGUGCGAGCGUUAAUCGGAAUUACUGGGCGUAAAGCGAGCGCAGACGGUUACUUAAGCAGGAUGUGAAAUCCCCGGGCUCAACCUGGGAACUGCGUUCUGAACUGGGUGACUAGAGUGUGUCAGAGGGAGGUAGAAUUCCACGUGUAGCAGUGAAAUGCGUAGAGAUGUGGAGGAAUACCGAUGGCGAAGGCAGCCUCCUGGGAUAACACUGACGUUCAUGCUCGAAAGCGUGGGUAGCAAACAGGAUUAGAUACCCUGGUAGUCCACGCCCUAAACGAUGUCAAUUAGCUGUUGGGCAACUUGAUUGCUUAGUAGCGUAGCUAACGCGUGAAAUUGACCGCCUGGGGAGUACGGUCGCAAGAUUAAAACUCAAAGGAAUUGACGGGGACCCGCACAAGCGGUGGAUGAUGUGGAUUAAUUCGAUGCAACGCGAAGAACCUUACCUGGUCUUGACAUGUACGGAAUCCUCCAGAGACGGAGGAGUGCCUUCGGGAGCCGUAACACAGGUGCUGCAUGGCUGUCGUCAGCUCGUGUCGUGAGAUGUUGGGUUAAGUCCCGCAACGAGCGCAACCCUUGUCAUUAGUUGCCAUCAUUUAGUUGGGCACUCUAAUGAGACUGCCGGUGACAAGCCGGAGGAAGGUGGGGAUGACGUCAAGUCCUCAUGGCCCUUAUGACCAGGGCUUCACACGUCAUACAAUGGUCGGUACAGAGGGUAGCCAAGCCGCGAGGUGGAGCCAAUCUCACAAAACCGAUCGUAGUCCGGAUUGCACUCUGCAACUCGAGUGCAUGAAGUCGGAAUCGCUAGUAAUCGCAGGUCAGCAUACUGCGGUGAAUACGUUCCCGGGUCUUGUACACACCGCCCGUCACACCAUGGGAGUGGGGGAUACCAGAAGUAGGUAGGGUAACCGCAAGGAGCCCGCUUACCACGGUAUGCUUCAUGACUGGGGUGAAGUCGUAACAAGGUAGCCGUAGGGGAACCUGCGGCUG